AACUCUGAACCUGAGGCGGUUCAGAAUUCUACUUGAUAGAGUAAUUAUUAUUUUGUUUCUUUCCUUCAUGUUCAAGGUUAUACGAGUUUUGAGAGGUCAGGGUGAUCAAUGGGACAACAGGGCCAGAUCUAGGGGUGUUACUGCGUCAUUUUCGUUGAAUGGAAUCGGCUUGGUACCUGAGGAACCACAGGAUCUUUUUCAAGAGAACGAGGAGUUGAAGGAAGAAAUCCAGAAACUGGCUGCCCAAAUCGAAUUCAUGAAGAUCGUCCACAUGGAAAGCAAUAACAGACACGUGAAACCAAAAAUUGGCGGAUAUUUCUCCGCCCUCAAUGCACCCAACGUCGUUCAAAGCCCUCUUGCCAAACAGGGAUACAACCUGAGUCAGCCAAGCAAACCUCCCGAGGAACUUUGACGAACCGUCAUAGGCCGUCACUCCCUCAGGGGUGGGAUGGAAAAGUUCAGGUUGAGUAUGAAGAGGAAACAGAAGAGUCAAGAGGAUCGAGAGGCGGUGCCAUUAUAAAACUAAUUUGACUUCGACGAGUCGUUCAUCAUGAUCCGCCGAGCAUUUAGAAGUGUCUCCUCAUUUGCUUACAAACGACUGAGACCCAUACUGGUGGAUCAUUCAGAUCAACACACCUGUUGAACCUUACAUUGAACAUGUUUACAUGUCAUUAGGUGGACUGAAAAGUUCGUAGGCUAACACACAGAUGGCGCUACUGGUAUUGAAUCCACAUGACUUUUAGUUAACCCUAACCUUCAAUAAAAACGUGUACAAAGUUCACAGCAGUCGAACUAUCAGUUUGUGGGAGAGAACAUUUUGUGUGAAGCAACUUUUAUUAGGUUGUAGAAAAUAAUAAUAAUAAUACUUACCGCAGUUGACAGAGUGAUCGAACAGAUAUAUGAGCAGAGAGGGUCG